rnacentral:tRNA from 1 species
GCGGCCAUAGUGUAGUGGUAACACGACAGAUUGUGAUUCUGUUAUUGCGGGUUCAAUUCCCACUGGCCGCCCCA